rnacentral:rRNA from 1 species
UACGGAGGGGGCUAGCGUUAUUCGGAAUUACUGGGCGUAAAGGGCGUGUAGGCGGCUUCGUGUGUCCCAUGUGAAAGCCCUCGGCUCAACCGGGGAACUGCAUGGGAAACUGCGGAGCUUGAGUCCGGGAGAGGAUAGUGGAAUUCCCAGUGUAGCGGUGAAAUGCGUAGAUAUUGGGAGGAACACCGGUGGCGAAGGCGGCUAUCUGGACCGGUACUGACGCUGAAACGCGAAAGCCAGGGGAGCAAACGGG